rnacentral:lncRNA from 1 species
UUUAAAAAUCCAAUACCAUGAUAAUUUAAAUUACAGGUAACUCUGAUUGUGCAAUGCACCGAAGUUAUGCAAGGUGCCCAUGUGUCAUAAUGCCCAUUCAAAUUACACAAUCAAGGAUAAGUAGUAGUCCUAGGAUAAGAGAAAUGAAUUAGUGAGCAAUGGUCAACACAAGAUAAAGCGAGUGUGGGCAAUUCUGCACAAUUUAGGUAAAGGCUUAUUUAUUUAUUUAUUUAAAUGGGGAAGGUAGCCUCUUUCCACACAGUUACAAAAAGGAAAAACAGCUUUAGAGUAAGGUAUUGUUCCCUGGGUUCUCCUAGUGGAGAAAUGUAAUUGCUGCAACCAAUAUGUGUCUCUGAAACAUGGCGGACCAGACUAAAUCUCAGAGAAAGACAAGGUCUUGACAUUCAGGAUGCUGAGCUCAACAUCCUUUUAAACUGCUUGCAUAUGACUUUGUGGUUUUCAAAUGAAAAACCUGCAACAUUUUAAAAACCUUAAGGAGUGAAUAACUGAUAUGUUUCUCUAGUGGAAAAUGAAGGCAUUCGAUGGCAUAGAGGCCUGUCUUUGGACUCAGAUAGCUUGGGUUCAAAUCCAAGCUCAGCCACCUAUUAAAAGAAUGACUUUGUACAAGUCACUGCCCUCAAAGAAAGUUCAACUGUAAGUAGAAGUAAAUUUGGGAGAGUGGAGAUGACUAUAUGGAUCGUGUCCUCAAAGACCUCUGAGGCCACCUUGGGAAGUUAAGUCUUCUGGAAAAACAUCACAUGAUUCACCUUCACCUACCUAAGUUUCCAUGAAGACAGUCCUCUUAUAAGAAAAUUACUCUGCUAAAUAAAUGUUUAUUACAAAAAACUUGAAACUGUGUGUAGAGACAAAUAACAUUUUUCAAAACAACGUAUUCUGUA